UCCAAGCUCCCACAGAACAGCCUACUGAGCUCUGAGCACUCAACAGCUUUUCUGACCCAAAAUUCAAAUGUCAGCACAAUCCUCCCCAAAACACACAGUCAGGCCCUGUCUGAUGGGAAGGAAGGACACAGAGAGAUUUAUUGCCAGCCAUCAUGUGACAUCAUUGCCAGCCGUGUCAGCAGUCUUGUUGCCCACGUGUUCUCUGCACACACUGAUUGUCAGACCCGGCGCUCUGAGUAGUGCUUGGAAGAGGCUUAUUCCAAUGGCCUGCUGGACCUUCCCAGUGCCUCUGGCUUCUUGUUCUAAAGGUGAGCUCUUCUUCUGUCACACAAUCCUGCAGCUGCUAUAGACCAUGCAUGACACUGCCUGGGGACCCAGUCCAGAAAGCGCACUGCCACGCUGAGCCAUUUGGAUUUUGGCUAAAUAAAUCUCUUUUUCUUCAUAA